GUGGUGCUACAAGUACUUAUGAUUAAAUUUAUCUCUGGAUCUCUUUUAGGCUACAACACUCACUACUUGCUCAUUUAUGUUCACAUUAGCAUCAACAUGCAAGUGAUAAAGACUGUCAAUUAAAAGAUCAAAUACAACCAAUUUAUUUCAUAAAUAAAUAGAAUAAAAAUUUUUAAUAAAUUAAAAAAUAAAUCCAUCUUAUGC
rnacentral:lncRNA from 1 species